rnacentral:rRNA from 1 species
UACUAGCGGUCCAAGUCGCAGCCACAUUUAUUGGGUCUAAAACAUCCGUAGCUUGCUUAAUAAGUUUCUUGUGAAAUCCUAUGUCUUAAACAUAGGGCGCGCAAGAAGUACUGUUGAGCUAGAGACUGGAAGGCGUAGGAAGUACGCUCAAAGUAGUGGUAAAAUACGUUAAUCUUGAGCGGACUCACAAUAGCGAAGGCAUCCUACGAGGACAGUUCUGACAGUGAGGGAUGAAGGCUAGGGUCGCGAAAGG